GUUAAAUUUAAACUUACGGUAGGUAAUUAGUAGGACGACCCUACCCGUCCGACUAGGUGGGGGUGGUUGGAAAAGUUUUUCGGUGCAGGAUGUGCUCGCGGCCUAUCAGCUUGUUGGUGGGGUAAUGGCCUACCAAGGCUUCGACGGGUAGCCGGCCUGAGAGGGUGACCGGCCACACUGGGACUGAGACACGGCCCAGACUCCUACGGGAGGCAGCAGUGGGGAAUAUUGGACAAUGGGCGGAAGCCUGAUCCAGCAACGCCGCGUGAGGGAUGACGGCCUUCGGGUUGUAAACCUCUUUCAGUACAGACGAAGCGCAAGUGACGGUAUGUACAGAAGAAGGACCGGCCAACUACGUG
rnacentral:rRNA from 1 species